rnacentral:rRNA from 1 species
GACGAACGCUGGCGGCGUGCUUAACACAUGCAAGUCGAGCGGUAAGGCCUUUCGGGGUACACGAGCGGCGAACGGGUGAGUAACACGUGGGUGAUCUGCCCUGCACUUCGGGAUAAGCCUGGGAAACUGGGUCUAAUACCGGAUAUGACCUCCUAUCGCAUGGUGGGUGGUGGAAAGAUUUAUCGGUGCAGGAUGGGCCCGCGGCCUAUCAGCUUGUUGGUGGGGUAAUGGCCUACCAAGGCGACACGGGUAGCCGACCUGAGAGGGUGACCGGCCACACUGGGACUGAGACACGGCCCAGACUCCUACGGGAGGCAGCAGUGGGGAAUAUUGCACAAUGGGCGAAAGCCUGAUGCAGCGACGCCGCGUGAGGGAUGACGGCCUUCGGGUUGUAAACCUCUUUCAGCAGGGACGAAGCGCAAGUGACGGUACCUGCAGAAGAAGCACCGGCUAACUACGUG